UUUACUUUAUUGAAAUCUUGGGCCUGGGUCCCGAGGCGAGCGCGAGAAGGCGCCUGACAGGUUUUCCGGAUCACCGCCUCAUCUCAGCCUCCAUCUAACUCUGAAUACAGCGAAUAUGGGUUAGGUUUCUGAA